rnacentral:lncRNA from 1 species
CAGGAUUUAAAUGAUACUAAACAUCGUAAAAUAUCGAUACAGGUGCGGAAUAUCCAACCCGACAUAGCCCUAACCAGGGUGUCAUAAGUUACGAGCAUCUAUAGACCAUGAUACAAGUCUGCUAAGUCCAAUAUCUAGUAUGAAUGUUUGAAGGAAAUAGUAGACACGGGCUACGGACGCCAACAUCUACCUCGUAGACGCCAAGUGGAGGAAUCAACACUUAGGAGCGGAACCAGCGACGCUUGAAUCUGCACACAUGGUGCAGAGAGUAAUAUAAGUACUCUGACCCAGUGAGUAAUAAAUAUAAAUAAUGACUGAAAGUAAGAAAACGCGUAUACACAAGGUAUUCUAUAAUGAAGCAGUUAAAUAAGAAAUUGGUAAGCAGUAAACCAAUGAAAAGUAGAAUAAAAUACUUCUACAACAAUUAGACAAGUAAUUGGCAGAGAUUUAAGAUAAAGUAAACACAUAGAAGUUCGCCCCUCGGGCUCAAUCUCACAUCACAAUGGGUACCCGCGCUUACUGGGGGUGUGUAGACUCAGGGAGGGGCCUCUUACAAUAUCAAGUCAUCUCAUGGCAUCAAAUCUAGGCUAUCGGCCUCAUGUCAAUCAAGCCACCUCGUGGCGUAUAUAUGUAUCUCAGGCCCUCGGCCUCAUAUCAGUAUCAAUGUUCCUCAUAAUAUAGGCCCUCGGCCUUACUUAGUCCAAAAAUCAUCACAAGCCCCUCGGCAAUAGUAAAACAGUGUUUUCAGCCAAAACAUCAUUUAAAAUAUCAUUUAAGUCUUGAAAACUGAGAAAGAAUGGCUGAAUAGUAAAAUAGUGGAAAAAUAUCGUGACUGAGUUCAAGUAACAAGUCAAAACAGUGAGGAAAAUAUCAAUAAAUAGCCCCGAAGGGUUCAAAUAGUUGGCACUAGGCCCAGCCCUAAUAAUGAUAACAUCACAUAGUUUACAAUCAAAUACGCGGUAAAAUCAUCAAUCGAGACGGACCAAGUCACAAUCUCCAAUAGUGCACGACCUCACGCUCGUCAUCGGGCGUGUGUCUCACCUCAUAUAGCACUACAAUGUGCAACCUGGGAUUUCAAACCCUCAGAGCAUCAUUUACAAUCAUUACUUACCUCGAACCGGCUAAAACUCUACCUCACGACGCUUUUGCCCCUCGAAUUGGCCUCCACGUGCGUCGAAUCUAUCCAAAAUCAGAACGAAUACUUCAUAAUAUGCUAAGGAAACAAAGUCCAAGCGAAAACAAUCGAAAAAUACCAAAAAUUCCGAAAUUAGCAAAAACUCGAGCCCCAGGCCCACUUCUCGAAACUCAAAAUUUUUUACAUCAACGAGUUCCUUAUCUCCCUACGAGUUCAUACACAUUAAAAGUUCUCAAAUCUGACCCCAAAUGGUCCUCCAAAUCCUCAAUUAGAAUUUCAAAAUUCCAAAGCCUAUUUCUUCCAUUUUUAGCAAUAAUUCAAUGAUUUUCUAGGUGGAUUUCAUAAUAUAAACGAGUUUUAGGUCCGAAAUUCUUACCUCCAAUCGUUUCCCCUCUUAGAGCACUCUUGAAGAUUCUAGCAAUUUCUUGGUAGUUCAACUAUAGUAGUGGUUGUGCCUUCCACCAAAUGCAUAUUUGUUUCCCUUUCUCGUUCCGCAAUGAGUUUUGGAGCAGUUGGCCAAAUCUUUUUGAAGCUAUUUAGAUGAAUGAACAACAAACCACUUAAUUCCUUGACCUUUAAUGAGGAAUCAAACAAAUAAGAUCCUUGGGGAAAC